rnacentral:rRNA from 1 species
AUUGAACGCUGGCGGCAUGCCUUACACAUGCAAGUCGAACGGCAGCACGGGAGCAAUCCUGGUGGCGAGUGGCGAACGGGUGAGUAAAGUAUCGGAACGUGCCCAGUCGUGGGGGAUAACGUAGCGAAAGUUACGCUAAUACCGCAUACGAUCUACGGAUGAAGGCGGGGGGUCGCAAGACCUCGCGCGAUUGGAGCGGCUGAUAUCAGAUUAGGUAGUUGGUGGGGUAAAGGCUCACCAAGCCGACGAUCUGUAGCUGGUCUGAGAGGACGACCAGCCACACUGGGACUGAGACACGGCCCAGACUCCUACGGGAGGCAGCAGUGGGGAAUUUUGGACAACGGGCGCAAGCCUGAUCCAGCCAUGCCGCGUGCAGGAUGAAGGCCUUCGGGUUGUAAACUGCUUUUGUACGGAACGAAAAGGUUUGGCCUAAUAAGCUGGACCCAUGACGGUACCGUAAGAAUAAGCACCGGCUAACUACGUGCCAGCCGCCGCAGUAA